rnacentral:lncRNA from 1 species
ACAUUUGCGUGAGGGGGAAAAAAUACCCGCUUGUCCGUCCUGUCCCUUCAGGCUGCGCAACGCUGGAGGGCGAUGGGAGCUCCACACAGGUGGGACGAGCCUAGCAGUGAUGCUGCCUGGAGUUAAAGGAGGCCAGGAGCACCAGAAGCUGGAGGAGGCCGGGGUGGAUUCUCGCCUGGAGGCUUCAGUGGGAGCACGAGCUCCCGACACUUCGGUUCCAUCUCUUGUUUAAAGGCACCCAGUUUCUCAUCAUUUGUUACAGCACCAUGGAAAACCCACACACAAGUGAAGCCCCGACCCACCUCCCAAGUGCCCAUCUGAGCACCCCUCGUGGACUCUGAGCAGGGGGUUGCCAUCACCAACUCCAAGUCUUGCAGCCCCUCUUCCCUUCAGUCUGGCUGCCACCUUCUUCAUUGCCCUGGAAAAAAAUAAUGAAGUUUCACCAUUUAAAGGGUUUCAGUGCAGCUUGCUAUGGGAACACUGGAGAGUAACACAAAUGGCCAAUUGUCCUAAUAGCCACCAUGGAUUGGAUGGAUGCUAACAACAGGCUCACAGUUCUCCUUCUGUUGCCUCCUUUUAUCCACAUGAGAAUCAAACAAGUAGGUGCUGCUGGUAUUACUGUAUUUUUCUCAUUUUAAAGAUCAGGAUGGGGAGGGUUGAGGAGGUUAAGGAAGUUGUUAGAAGUUACACUGAAGUUAAGAAAGGAAAAAGGACUUAGAAACUUAUUCUUCCAACUUUAGAACCACGGUCAGUGACCAAGGCCCUGCUUAGAACUUUCUGAAGGUUGCAGCUGGCCUUCUACCUGGAGUUUUGACUUCCUUUCCGAGAAAGGAACUUGAAUGGCAAUCACAAGAAAGUUGAGAACUUCUCUUUCAUAUUUUAAGCAUUCAUUUUUUUUUAUAUUUAUUUUAAUUUACAAAUACUAAUUGUAUAUAUGUAUAAGGUAAGAUAUGAUAGUUUGAUAUGGCUACCUUGUAAUAAAAUGAGCCUCAUUACCAA